CCUACGGGAGGCAGCAGUGGGGAAUCUUGCRCAAUGGGCGAAAGCCUGACGCAGCGACGCCGCGUGGGGGAUGAAGSUUCUCGGAGUGUAAACCCCUUUCGACUGGGACGAAUGCCUCGCAAGAGGAGUGACGGUACCCGUAGAAGAAGCCCCGGCUAACUACGUGCCAGCAGCCGCGGUAAU
rnacentral:rRNA from 1 species